rnacentral:misc_RNA from 2 species
AACGCACAUUGCGCCCACUGGUAUUCCGGUGGGCAUGCCUGUUCGAGCGUCAUUAUCCUCCCUCAAACCCCGGGUUUGGUGUUGGACCGAAGUUGUGUGAACAACUGGUCUAAAAGACAAUGACGGCGUCCGUGGGACCCUCGGUGCAACGAGCUUUUAGGAGCACGCGCCGAGUUGCAAGGACCUUCCGGGCCGGUCUCCUUUUACUAUUUUACAAGGUUGACCUCGGAUCAGGUAGGAAUACCCGCUGAACUUAA